GGCCGCCUGGUGUAGUGGUUAUCACGUGUCGUUCACAUGAGAGUGUGAACAAUUUUCCGACAAGGUCCCCGGUUCGAUCCCGGGGGUGGUCA